AACACCCACACACACGCACGCACACAAACACACGCGCACACACAAACACACACACCUCUAGGGGGAGACACUGUCCUCAUAUUUCUCAGAGCAAUUCGAAAUUCAAAAUCCAACCGCCUCGCUCAAUUUCCCGUCCUGCACCGCGGCCGAGCAAAGUCUCAGACAGUUAUAAUUAAAAGUAAAAAAAUAAAUAAAAAUCAGCGAAGCAAUAUAAAUAAUAAGUAACGGCGGAAACGGAUUGCACUGGUCAGAAGACACGUUUUGAUAACGGACAAGUGCCGUCAAAAGUUCGAUUUCCUUUUUUUUUUUUUUGUUUUUUUUUUUUGCGCGUCGACUCCGUGAGGAGCGGAGGAGCUCGGCGCUUGGCGCCACUUUCAAAUUCUCCACUGACGCAGAAUGAGAGCCUGGCUGAAAAUGCAUUUAGACACCACUUUUUACAUUUACCAUUUAUACUGUAAAUAUGGAUUGUACAAUUUCUCUUUCGGACGUUUUCUCUAUGCAAGGGUUCUCGUGUGUGAAAAUGCUGCUCAGCUGAUCCCACCUCGCCUUUAUCGAACAUAAAACUCAUUUGUAAACCCCUAUUUUGGGCUUUUCUUAAGCAUUUUUUGAAAAUGCCCACUGAUGGCUUUUUUUCCCCCCACGUGUGACCACAGCAAAUGUAGAGAAAUGACCAACUUUCCAGUGUGGUAAAAAUGUGUUUUUAAAAUUACAAAAAUAAAUCCUGUAAAAAUUGUAUCCUAUUAGAAUUUAUUAGAGCAGCUGAACUCUGUCUCUGUUCAUGCCUCACCUCCAUUUCCUUCCUCUUCCUCCAUUUUGUCAGCUUGAGUUUUACUCAUGACACACUCAUACACAAAAUGAUCCAAACCCAAAUGCGUCAUCUUCAACACAAGAUGUUUAUCUUCUUAAUUUUUCCCAAUGAGCUGCCAUUUCUUUGGUGAUAAGCUUAUUUCCACAUGCUUUUAUAUGAAUGGGACCUGUUUCAGGUAUAAGCUAUAGAGUUUAUUUUCUUUAUGAGAUGACAAAUGAAUUAACUUAUAUGUCCGAGUGUCCAAUUGAGGUGUUUUUCAUCCAGAUCUGACAGCACCUGUGCUACCGGGUCGUAAACAUGCGACCAUGUGCAUCCGGGGUCCACUCUAGCAGCACAUCAUGUUUUGCAGAUUUGUA
rnacentral:lncRNA from 1 species